rnacentral:rRNA from 1 species
UACCAGCUCUCCGAGUGGUAGGGAUGAUUAUUGGGCUUAAAGCGUCCGUAGCCGGCUUAGCAAGUCUCCUGUUAAAUUCAGCGACCUAAUCGUUGAGCCGCGGGAGAUACUACUAGGCUAGGAGGCGGGAGAGGUCAACGGUACUUCCGGGGUAGGGGUGAAAUCCUAUAAUCCCGGGAGGACCACCAGUGGCGAAGGCUGUUGACUAGAACGCGCUCGACGGUGAGGGACGAAAGCUGGGGGAGCGAACCGGAUUAGAUACCCGGGUAGUCCCAGCUGUAAACGAUGCGAGCUAGGUGUUGGGGUGGCUACGUGCCACUUCAGUGCCGCAGGGAAGCCAUUAAGCUCGCCGCCUGGGGAGUACGGCCGCAAGGCUGAAACUUAAAGGAAUUGGGCGGGGGAGCGCCACAAGGCGUGAAGCUUGCGGUUC